UCUCAAAGUUAAAGCACUCAUAGUUACAGAAACUGAAAUGUUUCUACUAAAUUAAGAAAACUAUGGGAUCCAGGUGAAUAAUAUUAUCAGACCAGAUUACACAUUAAAGUAAAACGAUUAAACUAUUAAAUAACUAGAGUUCAAGGGUCUUUCUCUUUCCCUUCAGUGACACUUCCCUCUCCAUCCUGCUUGGCAAUUGCAACCAACCCCUGUUAAUUAGUUCAGAUGGAAAAAACCAAAAUAUAAAGCUAGCUAUCAAGUAAAAGUGCAUUUUCCACAAAUAACAAAUGCGUAGGAUUACUAUUUCCACUCAAUCUUAUUCCAUACACACCCAUAGUAAUGUAUUUUGGGGGGAGGGGGGGGGUCGUCGCCUCCCGAAAUUCAGCAUACCGAUAGUGUUUUCACAUAUCUAUAGAACAUUGGUCGAUCAACUCACUCAUAAUACCAUUACCCCCACAGUUGAGCGACUAAAUCCAAUUGCCACAGAAACGCGGAAAAAGAAGAAGAAUAAAUUGCAAACCAGAAACGCGCCCAAAAAAUAGGAAGGCAAAUUGUAAAACUCGAUAGGUGUUUACCCCUCCUUUUGGCAGGCAACUAAAGACUUUUUUGGUACCUGCAACAGCAAUCAGUCUGCCAGCAUGUAUUUGAAAAGUUUCGAUAGAAGAACCAAGAGUGAGAUUUAAGACUUUAACAGUCAUAAAAUAUUCUUCAAUCCCGUCAACCGAUAGUUCACCUUCUCAAU
rnacentral:lncRNA from 1 species